CUUUCCCAGAAGCAGUGAUGAGUUUCACUUUCUUUUUCUUUCUUUAACUUUACAAGCAGGAGACUGUAGCUGCACUAAGAACAACCGGACCCUCUUCCGACUCAGCCAGAGGAGAUUUCUCGGGAGAAGCAACACCUCUUCCCAGCCUGGACACAGACUGAGGAGCUGUCAGACAGAGUAUUAAGAUCCUGCUGCUGCUGGCAACAUGAACCCAAAAGAUGGUGCAGACAACUCAAGUAGUGAGCUUCCUCUUUCCUGGCCAGCUUCUCCUGGAGACAGAGAACUGCUGGUAAUGCCUCCAGAGUCCAACAGCUCUAUUGAGGAUGCAGCUAGAUACAUUCAGAAUGCCAUGUGCAGAGAAGACCUGCAACUCUUUCUGGCUGACAGACAUGCUUGGAAGAAUUUUGUGACUGAGGCCAAAUUAUCCAGGGAUGAGGCCGGAGCACUGUAUGGAUAUCUGAAGGAUCCAGAGACAGAGAAAGAAGGCAUGGAAGACAGAAACAUGUUGUGGCUGUGGCUGCGGUUAUCCUUUGUGUUUGGGCUAGGGUUAUUCUUGGUGUUAUGGUUAGAUUUAGGACUAGUCU